UACAGAGGUCUCAAGCGUUGUUCGGAUUCAUUGGGCGUAAAGGGUGCGUAGGCGGUUCGGUAAGUCGGGUGUGAAACCUCCAGGCUCAACCUGGAGAGGCCACCUGAUACUGCUGUGACUCGAGUCCGGUAGGGGAGCGUGGAAUUCCUGGUGUAGCGGUGAAAUGCGCAGAUAUCAGGAGGAACACCAGCGGCGAAGGCGGCGCUCUGGGCCGGAACUGACGCUGAGGAGCGAAAGCGUGGGUAGCAAACAGA
rnacentral:rRNA from 1 species